rnacentral:tRNA from 2 species
CAAAAAGUAGUUUUAAAAAAAAUUUUAAUUUUGGAGAUUAAAGAUAUAAGUUAUUUUAUUUUUUUGA